rnacentral:rRNA from 1 species
GACAGAGGUCCCGAGCGUUAGGCGGAAUCACUGGGCUUAAAGCGUGUGUAGGCGGAUUUGUAAGUACCUUGUGAAAUCCCACGGCUCAACCGUGGAACUGCUCGGUAUACUGCUUAUCUUGAGCCACUUAGGGGCUACCGGAACAAAUGGUGGAGCGGUGAAAUGCGUAGAUAUCAUUUGGAACGCCAAUGGUGAAAACAGGUAGCUGGGAGUGUGCUGACGCUGAGACACGAAAGCCAGGGGAGCGAACGGG